ACUAGUAUGGUGCUUUUUUGCGGUUGCAAGAAAAGAUAAUAGGGAAUACGGUGAGAGUCCGUAACAGCCCCCACUACUGUGAUUGGGUAUGAAAGCUUAACAGGACCAUUGGACCAAUAGUGUUCGAGAAGGAAAAGCGAGUAAGGAGAUCCAUAAGUCAGGAGACCUGCCAUAACUUUUU
rnacentral:ncRNA from 1 species